rnacentral:rRNA from 1 species
UACGUAGGGUGCGAGCGUUGUCCGGAAUUAUUGGGCGUAAAGAGCUUGUAGGUGGUUUUGUCGCGUCUGCUGUGAAAAUCCGAGGCUCAACCUCGGGUCUGCAGUCGAUACGGGCAAACUAGAGUAUUGCAGGGGAGACUGGAAUUCCUGGUGUAGCGGUGAAAUGCGCAGAUAUCAGGAGGAACACCGGUGGCGAAGGCGGGUCUCUGGGCAAUACUGACUGAGGAGCGAAAAGCGUGGGGGAGCAACAGG